rnacentral:lncRNA from 1 species
AAUCAUCACCAGCCAGCAGCUCUGUCACUGGACCGGGGGUGUGAAUACCAGCGUACACCACUGUGACAAUGGCAGCUGCGUGCGUGUCAUCCUCACCGUGAACUGGAGUGACUGUGGGCUGCCGCCUGGCUCCAGGCCCGGGCUCCUCGCUCCCCUCCAUACUCAGGCCUGCACACUCCUGGAGCUUUCUCUCAGUCUGGGAGGCCACUUCUCUGACCCUAAUUCCCAUCUUCACACAAGAAGUUCCAGGCCAUAAGAAAUAAGCUGAAGUCUGAGCUCCUCUGCAACCUCAUCCACAAUACCUCAAUGUAUACUGCCCACAGAUAAGCAAUCCAGCUCUGAGACAUUUUUAAAGGGGCCGAGAUGCCUUCGCUAAAGUGGUCCAGGAAGAUGAACACAGAAAGCCAUCUUCUGCGUUAUUUGAGGAUUCAAUGGGAACAAGGAGGACCUUCCCCGCAGUCCUGAGAAGAGAUUCCACAUUCCCGAGCGCCUGCCUCCAGACUCUGAGCUCAGAGAUGAAAGUGGACAACAUUCACUCAGCAAAGACGUCCUGGGCGCCUCCUACGUGCCAGACACUGUUCUAAGAGGACGGGGUGUGACCAAAGAGCCCUGCCCUGGACACGCUGACAGUGAGAGGGUGCUGGUCUGUCUUGAUGUGACGAGUAUGCGCCUGCCUUUGGCAAGCUGGCUCAUCUGCUGGCUGUCAAGACUUUACCUUUUCACAGAGCCAAAGCCAGCCUGGAGAGGCUUUCCCUCCAACUACCUUGGUAGGGAGAGUGAACGUGGCCUGCCAGCCGGGCCUCCAGAACCACAGCCAUCAGCACCACCACACCUCAGGUCCUGAAGUCACCUGUCUAGAAAAAACAAACACAUCUCAGGUGUCAGAGAAGCACUGCUUUCCUCUUUUCCGAAGCCACUGGGGGAUGGCGGGGAAGGGGUAGGACUGGCCUGCGGCUUUCCUUUCCUGAGGGAAAGGUUUGGAGGCUCUGCACUGCUACUACAAGGCCUCUGAGGUUUGGCUUCCUCCCCAGCAAGCUCCCAGCAAGGUGCAACUCACAGGCCUACACC